UGGGGAAUCUUGGACAAUGGGGGCAACCCUGAUCCAGCCAUGCCGCGUGAGUGAUGAAGGCCUUAGGGUCGUAAAGCUCUUUCGCCUGUGAAGAUAAUGACGGUAGCAGGUAAAGAAACCCCGGCUAACUCCGUGCCAGCAGCCGCGGUAAUACGGAGGGGGUUAGCGUUGUUCGGAAUUACUGGGCGUAAAGCGCACGUAGGCGGACCAGAAAGUUGGGGGUGAAAUCCCGGGGGCUCAACCCCGGAACUGCCUCCAAAACUAUUGGUCUAGAGUUCGAGAGAGGUGAGUGGAAUUCCAAGUGUAGAGGUGAAAUUCGUAGAUAUUUGGAGGAACACCAGUGGCGAAGGCGGCUCACUGGCUCGAUACUGACGCUGAGGUGCGAAAGUGUGGGGAGCAAAACAGGAUUAGAUACCCUGGUAGUCCACACCGUAAAACGAUGAAUGCCAGUCGUCGGGUAGCAUGCUAUUCGGUGACACACCUAACGGAUUAAGCAUUCCGCCUGGGGAG
rnacentral:rRNA from 1 species